CCUACGGGUGGCAGCAGUGGGGAAUAUUGGACAAUGGGCGAAAGCCUGAUCCAGCCAUGCCGCGUGUGUGAAGAAGGCCUUCGGGUUGUAAAGCACUUUCAGUGGGGAAGAAAGCCUUGGGGCUAAUACCCUCGAGGAAGGACAUCACCCACAGAAGAAGCACCGGCUAACUCCGUGCCAGCAGCCGCGGUAAUACGGAGGGUGCGAGCGUUAAUCGGAAUUACUGGGCGUAAAGCGCGCGUAGGCGGUCUGAUAAGCCGGUUGUGAAAGCCCCGGGCUCAACCUGGGAACGGCAUCCGGAACUGUCAGGCUAGAGUGUAGGAGAGGAAGGUAGAAUUCCCGGUGUAGCGGUGAAAUGCGUAGAGAUCGGGAGGAAUACCAGUGGCGAAGGCGGCCUUCUGGACUGACUCUGACGCUGAGGUGCGAAAGCGUGGGUAGCAAACAGGAUUAGAUACCCGAGUAGUC
rnacentral:rRNA from 1 species